AUUUUAAAUUUUGACUGAGCUAUACAUUAUAUCCCCUGUUUGAGAUCACAGUAAUUUUACAACAAAAACCAAUCUUUUGAAUAUAACUUUAAAGAAGUUGGAGUCUGUCUUAUUUUGGAGCGAUUCUACAUGCAGUAAGGUGGGAGGCAGAGCCUUAUCUCAGGUUAGACUGUGAAGGAAUUGAGUUGUUAACAAAAUUUCUACAGUUUGAAUCUGAGAAAAGUAUUUCAGCAGAAGAGGCCAUGAAGUAUGCAUACAUUCAAAAUCUGGG